CAGUUGUGUUGUCUGUAAAUUAGCCUUUUCGUACCAAUACGCGUGGCGUGUUUUAAUUAGUAUAUUCUUCCAUUCAUUACAGCUUUCAAGUGAAAUUACAGUUACGUUUCAUAUCCAAGUCUGACUUUACAAGAAUAUCAGGAUGUCUUACUACAAUGCCUUAUUUAAUAUCACUUCAAAAACGCCUGUUGAUCUACCAGAGAUAAAGACCAAUGCUACAGACUUCAGCUACAUGAAACCAUUCUUGCUGCUUCCAGAAUGUCUUCAAACCGAACUGGUAAACUUCUUAUUCUGCACAUUCAAAAGAUUAAUGGCUUUGUUCAUGACAUCGCUUGCCUUUAAGGAGAAAUUGGCUUAUUUCCUAGCAAUGGAACACGCAUUUUUCUACUUCUACUGUACUCAAGACAUCCUAGCCAGUUUUUGGGUCUUUAACUUUCUUAUAGUGACCUUGUACGCUGUUUACAGUUUGCGAAAUACGGAAAAUAUUCAGACAGCAAUAAUAGCAUUCUGUAUUGUAAAAGAUCAUGGUUGUGAUUUUAUACUAGAUGCGCUUCUGGUAUCUUCUGCUCUCAUAAUUUUUUUAAGAACAGUGCAUCAAAUUUUUGCGGAAUUAUACACCGCACGUCGUUCUCCAAAUUGAAAGUGUCGAUGCAUCUUUUUUUAUCUGGAAUUAAAACGUCUCGGUUAUAAAAUGUAUAGCAAUAACCCUUUUAAUUAUCAUUUCUAAUGAUAGAUUUGUUUACAUUUUAGCUCAUGUAUUUAUCAAUUUGCCUAAUUUAAAUAAACUGCAUAAGCAAAAUAUCAUUUUCUUUUAUUGCAUGGCUUGAAUUUUACAACUGCCAAAGUCUUGAUUUACGAAUUUUUCACUGAAAAAUGUGUAAAUGUACACUAUUUAAAUAAAUGGUUAUUAUUUGCAGAUUCACAAAAAUAGUUUUUAAUUUCAGUGACUUCUAAAAUCAUAUUUUUGAAAACGCGUGUAGUAAUGUUCUGCAAUUAUUAUUUUUUUUUCAUUGCAACUAAUUUGACUGGCUCUUAUAAAUUUAAUACUGCUGAAUCCAAUUUAAAGUUAGGCAAAACAACUACUUUUUUUUUUUCCCGUCGGUUUUAAUUGCAUAGAUCAGCGGUUCUCAACC